CCCAAAGGAUCCAAUGUGACCGAGGCGCUGAAUAUCUACCUAUCUAUAGUGACAGUGUCAUGGAAAAAUGGAUUAUGCACCCACAAAUGCAAACGUAACAACGUCCCUACAAAGGUGACUUGGAUAUUCAUUGCAGCCUUGGCAUAUGAACCAAUACUUUAUGGUGCUCCAAAGUCAGGGUCAAGGGAAGAAACUAUGUCACAUGUACAACCACAAAAAUAUAUUGAGUGUUGUUUUACUGUUUUUAAACACUGUACAUAAUAUAUGUACAAACAAUGCUUGGCUACUGUUUUCAUGCUGCCGGCAAAAAAUACCUGCUGCAUCUUUCAUUAACAGAUUUUCAAUAAAAUAAAUUAACUUUUUAACCCAA